rnacentral:rRNA from 1 species
CCUGCGAAGGCAAGCGGAUCUCUUAAAGCUGUUCUCAGUUCGGACUGCAGUCUGCAACUCGACUGCACGAAGCUGGAAUCGCUAGUAAUCGCGGAUCAGCACGCCGCGGUGAAUACGUUCCCGGGCCUUGUACACACCGCCCGUCACACCAUGGAAGUCUGCAAUGCCCGAAGCCGGUGGCCUAACCAUUUGGGAGGAGCUGCCGAGGGUGGGACCAGUGACUGGGGUGAAGUCGUAACAAGGUAGC